GACGAACGCUGGCGGCAUGCCUAAUACAUGCAAGUCGAGCGAAUGAUGAAGAAGCUUGCUUCUUCUGAUUUAGCGGCGGACGGGUGAGUAACACGUGGGCAACCUACCUUAUAGCUUGGGAUAACUUCGGGAAACCGGAGCUAAUACCGAAUAAUUCAUUUUCUUUCAUGAGAAAAUGCUGAAAGAUGGUUUCGGCUAUCACUAUAGGAUGGGCCCGCGGCGCAUUAGCUAGUUGGUGAGGUAACGGCUCACCAAGGCGACGAUGCGUAGCCGACCUGAGAGGGUGAUCGGCCACACUGGGACUGAGACACGGCCCAGACUCCUACGGGAGGCAGCAGUAGGGAAUCUUCCACAAUGGACGAAAGUCUGAUGGAGCAAUGCCGCGUGAGUGAAGAAGGUUUUCGGAUCGUAAAACUCUGUUGUAAGGGAAGAACAAGUACAGUAGUAACUGGCUGUACC
rnacentral:rRNA from 1 species